UACAGAGGGGGCAAGCGUUGUUCGGAAUUACUGGGCGUAAAGGGCGCGUAGGCGGCCUUCUAAGUCAGACGUGAAAUCCCCCGGCUCAACUGGGGAACUGCACGGGAAACAGCAGGGCUUGAGUUCGGGAGAGGGAAGCGGAAUUCCGGGUGUAGCGGUGAAAUGCGUAGAUAUCCGGAGGAACACCGGUGGCGAAGGCGGCUUCCUGGACCGAUACUGACGCUGAGGCGCGAAAGCUAGGGGAGCAAACGGG
rnacentral:rRNA from 1 species